UCUCUCUCUCUCUCUCUCUCUCUCUCGGCCGAAACAAAACCAACAAAACAGAGCAAUCUUCAUCAACUCAUCUCUCCCUCCACCGGCCACCAAUCAAGACCAGAACACUUCCUAUAGUUUCGCCUCCUCCUUGCGCAGCUUCCAGUAGCAUCCUUGCACCGUAACACGGCCGGAAAUGGCGGCGGAGGACACGGUUCCGUUUUGAGCUCGUUUUGGUUCGAUCUCGAUAUCUUGAGCUACAGGCCACCAAUUCUCUUGAUUUUUGGCUCAUUGGACUCGCCUCAACUUUCUGAACAAGAAUCAACAAGGACCAGACCUGGGUAGAACGAUUUCACGUUCGUCGGAGCUCGCCUCGGUUUAGAUCGAAAAUCACCAUUGGAUCCAGAUAUCUCGAGUUACAGACCACCAUUCUUUAUGAUUCUUGGCUUGAUUAACUCAAAUUGAUUUUAUGAACAAUUAUACAUAAGGGAUCGAUGGGAGUGGUGAAAGUUUUUACGUCGAACUCAAGCUCGCCGGAUUCUGGAAAAAUUCCGGCCAGUGUGACUGAUUUCGGUGAUUGACGGAUUGAUUUGGCGAACGAUUGUGAAUCGUAUCUUGAGCUGUUAAGAAGACGCAGCGGGAUUUUAGAGGUUUUGUGUUGUUGCAAUCCCGGUACACUAUUCAAACGGUGUAACGGGUAAUCCUACCAGUCAGGAGAAUCAGGAAGGUGACCGAGCUGCUUAGAGUUGCUGCAUUGGUGUUAAUCUGAAUUUCUUUUGUGAGGUGUGUUAUGCUCAUUUGAGUUACAUUUAAAUUUGGAGAGAGUGUGCUGUAAUAACAAACUCUUUGAGGAUUCGGUUAUGUAUUAAUGAGUGGUGUGAAGUGCGGUUGUUCUCAGAAAAAAAAAAUUCAGAACGUUAUUUGUAUUGUUAUUAUUCACGUUUCGGAUUUGAAUUUAUUAUUCAAAAUUUGGGGCGUGACACCUAUGACGAGCUCAUCGAGUGGGCCAUCAUACACGCCAAAGCGGAAUACAACAC